AGCAGCCGCGGUAAUUCCAGCUCCAAUAGCGUAUAUUAAAGUUGUUGCAGUUAAAAAGCUCGUAGUUGAAUUUCGGGGGUUAGCAGGUCGGUCGUGCCAUCGGUAUGAACUGGUCUCGCUGAUCCCCUCCCUCUUGACGAACUGUGAUGCCAUUAAUUUGGUGUCGCAGGGAAUCAGGACUGUUACUUUAGAAAAAUUAGAGUGUUUAAAGCAGGCUCACGCUUGAAUACAUUAGCAUGGAAUAAUGAAAUAGGACGUUUGAUCCUAUUUUGUUGGCUUCUAGGAUUGACGUAAUGAUUAAUAGGGAUAGUUGGGGGGCAUUAGUAUUCA
rnacentral:rRNA from 1 species